rnacentral:rRNA from 1 species
GUCGAGAAUCUUUCACAAUGGGGGCAACCCUGAUGGAGCGACGCCGCGUGGAGGAUAAGGUCUUCGGAUUGUAAACUCCUGUCAUGCGUGAACAAGGUUGCUUGGUUAAUACCUGGGCAAAUUGAUGGUAACGCAAGAGGAAGAGACGGCUAACUCUGUGCCAGCAGCCGUGGUAAUACAGAGGUCUCAAGCGUUGUUCGGAAUCACUGGGCGUAAAGGGUGCGUAGGUGGCGUGGUAAGUCAGAUGUGAAAGCCCGGGGCUCAACCUCGGAACUGCAUCCGAUACUGCCAUGCUAGAGUACUGGAGAGGUGACUAGAAUUCUCGGUGUAGCAGUGAAAUGCGUAGAUAUCGAGAGGAAUACCAAAGGCGUAGGCAGGUCACUGGACAGUUACUGACACUGAGGCACGAAGGCCAGGGGAGCGAACGGGAUUAGAUACCCGAGUAGUCC